UGCAAAGAUGAAGCUGCUUCUGGCCCUAGCAGGGCUCCUGGCCAUUCUGGCCACGCCCCAGCCCUCUGAAGGUGCUGCUCCAGCUGUCCUGGGGGAGGUGGACACCUCGUUGGUGCUGAGCUGCAUGCAGGAGGCCAAGCAGCUGGUGGACAAGGCCUACAAGGAGCGGCGGGCAAGGUGGGGCACGAGGCACUGCCCAGCUCUGGGCAAGGAUGUCCCAGGCCUUUCAGAGAAGCAGCAGGCAGCAGGGAGCUUGAAGCAUCAAGCAGCGGCUUCGCAGUGGCUCAGCCAGCCCCAUGGAACUCCUAUCCUACUUCAAGCAGCCGGUGGCAGCCACCAGGACGGCGGUGAGGGCGGCUGACUACCUGCACGUGGCUCUAGACCUGCUGGAGAGGAAG
rnacentral:sRNA from 1 species